rnacentral:rRNA from 1 species
AUGGCCGGCGGUGGCGUGGACCGCCUGUCGUCGCUCUCCAACGACCUCCUCCGCCGCAUCCUCCACUUCGCCCCACUCAAGGAGGCAGCCUCCACAACCGCGCUCUCCCGGCGGCAAUGGCACGACAAUGCGCACGCCCGCUUCUUCUCCGGGAGCGACGACUUGGUCUCCGCGGCCGCGGGGGCGCUCGAAGCCGCCGACGUCCCCGUCACGAGGCUCACUUUAAUCACCUGGUUCCCAGACUAUGCCGAGGUCGCAUCGUGCUACAAAGACUUGGUGGAGGUCGUGCUCUCACACCGGGCGGCGCACCGCGUCGAGGAGCUCCUGCUCGUCGCCAAAGAUCCUUACGGCAACCCCUAUAAUCGGAAGGUAUUCAACUGCACAGUCACCCUUGACUCCCUUCAGAUGGGGACACUGCGGAUCCUAGAAUUCACCAACUGCAGCGGAGUACUAGUCAACCACACGGAGGCCGUGCUCCCAAUCCCUCCAACGCGUUAUUGA